rnacentral:misc_RNA from 1 species
AAGUCGUAACAAGGUUUCCGUAGGUGAACCUGCGGAAGGAUCAUUACCAAUUAAUCCAAAAUUACCUCAACCCAUGUGAACGAUGGCUGACUGUCUGUCCUUGGGGUGGAGCGCUUUUUAGGUUUUUGUAACGAAAACCAAUCAGCAGGACACCCCAUAUUUGUUUAAACCCAUUUUAUUUCUUUUUGGCAUCUUGUCUUAAUAAUAAUAAUAAAGGACAACUUUUAACGGUGGAUCUCUUGGCUCGUG